GCCUACGGGUCGCAGCAGUGGGGAAUAUUGGACAAUGGGCGAAAGCCUGAUCCAGCCAUGCCGCGUGUGUGAAGAAGGCCUUCGGGUUGUAAAGCACUUUCAGUGGGGAAGAAAGCCUUGGGGCUAAUACCCUCGAGGAAGGACAUCACCCACAGAAGAAGCACCGGCUAACUCCGUGCCAGCAGCCGCGGUAAUACGGAGGGUGCGAGCGUUAAUCGGAAUUACUGGGCGUAAAGCGCGCGUAGGCGGUCUGAUAAGCCGGUUGUGAAAGCCCCGGGCUCAACCUGGGAACGGCAUCCGGAACUGUCAGGCUAGAGUGCAGGAGAGGAAGGUAGAAUUCCCGGUGUAGCGGUGAAAUGCGUAGAGAUCGGGAGGAAUACCAGUGGCGAAGGCGGCCUUCUGGACUGACACUGACGCUGAGGUGCGAAAGCGUGGGUAGCAAACAGGAUUAGAUACCCCAGUAGUC
rnacentral:rRNA from 1 species